CUGAGUUGUGUAGUGGUUCAGGGAACACUUUCCUACAUUUGCAGUGCCUUUGGUGCAGGUUCAGUGAAGCUCUCCUCCUUGUCUCGAGUCUAGCCAUGGUUCCCUGCUUAGGGUGGUGAUUCUAAAGUCUACAGGUCUCUGUAGCCCUCUCCAGUUCAUCGCAUGCCAUUCCCCUGUGCUGGUGACCACGCCUGCAGUUCUCCCACCUCGCCAUGGCUCGGACGUCCUAAGGAGUUGCUGGCCUGGAUGAAGCUUGUUCUGUAAUCAUCUCAGAGCUCCCAAAAUAAAGAGUGAAGAUUCAAGAUGAAGUGGUUGCUAAAGAGGAGUCUACUCCAGUGCCUGCUCAUCAAGUGGAUGGAGCUAUCUAACUAAAGGGUUUUCGAACCCAUGUUGUUGUAGGUGAUGAGGAGUACACUACCUGUUCCUAAGGCUGGAGGACGUUUCCAGUUCUGGAGGAAGAUUAGUUAGGCUUAUGUAUAAGCUUUGGAGGGUUCCUACCUUUCUGCUAUUGUAAUAAGUUAUGCACUUUGAGUAUAUCAGGACUUGUAAUAAAUGUAACCUUCCCAUGUAAUAACCUUCAGUUUUAGAAAUAAAAAGAAUGUUUUGUAAA